GAGGUAGAUAGACGACCUAGAGAUUAGUGCACCACAACAGUACACUGUCGACCGCUGCCACAAGUCUGAAACAGACGGUCAAAGAAACCCCACCCCAUCACCUCAUGAUGCAUGAGCUGGAUCGAUCAUUCUAUUAUUAACCAUCUCUCUCUCUGUUUUUUUUUUUUUUUUUUUUUUUUUUUAAGAAUUAACCAUCCCUUUCGAAAUUUCUCUUUCUCUCUGAAUAUUUGAGCCUCCUCUUGGUGUUAUUAUCCAUGACGAAUGACUGGAAAUACAGCAUUCAAUUUAUUCUGGGUUGGUGGAGGGGUCAUAACUCUCAAAAAGCUCCUGAAACUCACCUGCGGAAAAAGAAAGAGAGAAGAGAUGAAAGCCCUCUUUUAUUUUUUAUUUGUUUACUCUGUUGCUUCCUUCAAGUAAGACCACUACUCUGCCAGAUUUGUGUUAUAGCUAGAGGUGAGAUCAGAGAUAUAGAUCUUCAAUCGCUUUCCCUUUCCCUUUCCCUGAUUCGCAUGGAAGACAAUGACACUCCAGCUUGUUUAAUACAAAACCCUUCUUGAAUUUUUUUUUUUUUUUUUGCAGGACUCUUUAACUUUAUGCUUAUUUUUUCCUAAUUAAUUUUUAAUUUCUCUUUUUUAUUACUUAUUUCUGGGUUUGUCAGUGCGGCCUGAUUUUGGUUGAAUUCGCACGGAUUUAAUUACUUUGUUUCCUGAAGUUGCAAGGAGCUAGGUUUCGGUUUCUUCCCUGGAGGUUUUAAUUUUAAGGUUUAUAGACAGAAAUCAAGCCGUGGACAGCCGGAAUCGACACCGUUUUCUGGUAAUUUUAAGAUUUCUUUACCUUUCUAAUCAUAUGACAAAAUUAUAAGAAUUACUACUCCCAAGGAUUAUAUAUAGUGUAAUAGAGAUAGAUUUCAGUAACAACUGGAAACGGAGUACUAUUCUUGAACAAGAAAUUUGAAUGUUACUGAUCUCUAGAUGUAUAAAUUCCAACCAACGAAGCAGUAAUUCAUAAAGACUAUGGGAGAUUGAGAUUCUCUAAUCACAUUCUAUACUUAAUCUCCUUUUCUAUAUUUCCAAUCAGAUUAAGGAAACCUUAGUAAUUUCUGGUCUGCAUGGUUGCAUCACAAGGAAAAGUUAAUGGCGGGAUGUAAAAUCAUCCUGUAAAUUAAUUGUUAUCCUGUUAUAAAAAAGCUAGUUAUUGGCAAGAAGAAAUAGUGGCCGGGAUUGAAAUUGCAUCAUGUAAAUUGUUAUUUUGUUGUCAAUUAGCCAGCUAUUUGAAGAAGGAGAUAAAUCAAGUCUUCUUGCUUGUUAUGAUGCAGAAGGAUAUAGAUGUACCACAUGUAUAUUUGUUUCCAUAUUUCCUUUUGAAUUAUAUGUUGGUUUCAUGAAGCUAGCGGUAUAGAUUGUUGGAAUAAUUUAGGACAUGUAUAGUUCUUACUUCUUAAAGAUAGUGCAAGAGAGCUUUCUUCAGUCCACUCAUGGAAGGGCAAAGGGUUUGGAUUAGCUGCCGACUCAUUCACUCAAACACGGUAGAGAAAACGGAAGGAAUUUCUGCCGCGAAUGUGUGAAUGAUUCGGGAGAUAAAUUUCAUCCUUUUCUUUUCUGUGCUUGGACUGAAGGGAGCUCCCUUUACUGUCUUCUAAUUGAUUUUGUCACAUAGGUGUUCUCAUCCAUGUUUUUCACAAUAAUAAGGUACACUCAAGUCUGCAGAAAAUAAAUCCAAAAAUGAUUGGGGCUCAUUUCUCUAUCCAAGGGGUACUUCACCAUCCAGUGCUAGUCACUCAUACUUCACUUUUCAGUACUAUUCUCCCAUACCAUACCCUCUUCAUCUCUAUAUUAUCGGUUCUUACACAGUAUAGAGUGAAGGAUAUACAUAUGUACAUAUAUAUAUGGUUAGUUUAGUGACAGCCAGAGAUUUAAAGACACGUUUGCCUGAGAAUCGAAAGCAAACUUUUGCGAGUGAAGUGAAGUCACACUGCAAACUUAAAAGAGCUGAACUCCAUUGAUGCUUUACAGGUUAAACAUGGAGGCUUGGUUGGUUGGGUGUCUACUUGUCUGUAUUCUUUUGGAAGCGCAUAUUAUAAUGCAGCAGUAUACUAAUUUGAGGUAGCUAGGCAUUGGUAAUUUGGUUCUCUUAUGUUAUAGAUAAUAGAUAUAGAGCCCGUGCGUUUUGGCAUGACUGUCUCUGUGGGGCUAAACGGCAGUCUCUCAGAGAACCCAGAAGCAGGAAAGCAGAGGUUGGAACUUGUAGCUAUCAGCUCACACCUAUGCUUCAUUGGCCUUAGUGUCGUCAGCCCUAUUGAUGAGUAAAUUAUUUGCAGUUUUUUGCGGACUUGUGAUCUUGAAUAUGAAUGCUUUCGAUUAGAGAAGAACCCUAGGCAGGCUGUGGGAUGAGAACCCUUCAACAAAAAAAAUGUGAUUCUUGCAAAUUUGUUUUGGCAUUAUUUUUGCAAAUUUGUGUGAAAAUAACAAAUUUCUCCUAUUGAAGCCAAUUUUGUAAUGGAUGCUAUUGCGAAGUCACAGCUCGGAUACCGCUAUCACUUGGUCUAAGAAGCUGCCGCUUUCUGCCCUCUCCGCUUUUAAUUUCAAUAAAUUUAGUUUUUAGUUCUGAUUGUAUUAUGAAUUUUAAAUUAUAAUUUUCUUUUCCUCACAAAAAAAAAAAAAGAAAGAAAUUUCUCCAAGUGGGUUGAUUUUCUACUUUUCUUCUGUAGUGAAACCCUUCAUCUGAAGUUCUGGAACCCUAUUAAAAUUAAAAUGGUUUAAAGCUUCAAAAGGUGUGAUGUGAAUAUGCAUGUAUAUGAUCUGAAGUGUAUUUAAAUAUGCAGUUCAUUGGGUGUCGAUAAUGGAAGUACAAAUGUAAGUGGCUUUUUAAUUAUAUUUUUCGAGUAAUGGGCAUCUCUUACUUAUGGUCUUUGAUUUGUACGUUAUUUUAUAGUUAGGUUAAUAUUCUUUCCAUAAGGGGGGGCUUGUUUUGGUUCCUAGGUAGCUCAGUUCAUGUUGCCAUGUUUCUGUUCCCUUAUUUUAUUACUAUAUGCAUGAAGAGAACUCCCAGACGACAAAUAACACCUGCUUAUCAAAGAUAAAG